AUCCAGCUGACGAGUACCGAAUAGGACGAAACGCGCGUCCCAGAU
rnacentral:hammerhead_ribozyme from 1 species